rnacentral:rRNA from 1 species
AAUGAACGCUGGCGGCAGGCCUAACACAUGCAAGUCGAACGAGUAGCGGACGGGUGAGUAAUGUCUGGGAAAAUGCCUGAUGGAUGGGGAUAACUAAUGGAAACGGUAGCUAAUACCGCAUACCAUCGGAUGUGCCCAGAUGGGAUUAGCUAGUAGGUGGGGUAAAGGCUCACAUAGGCGACGAUCCCUAGCUGAGCUGAGAGGAUGACCGGCCACACUGGAACUGAGACACGGUCCAGACUCCUACGGGAGGCAGCAGUGGGGAAUAUUGCACAAUGGGCGCAAGCCUGAUGCAGCAAUGCCGCGUGAAUGAAGAAGGCCUUCGGGUUGUAAAGUACUUUCAGCGGGGAGGCGUUACCCGAAGAAGAAGCACCGGCUAACUCCGUGCCAGCCGCCGCGGUAAUUC